CCCUUUGAUAGUGACAGUGACCCAGAUGACCCUGAGCCUUUCCAUGGUUUUGAUGCCUCGCCCUAUACAUCAGAUGUAGAUGUUCCCUCAUCAGUUGAUACGAGUAUCACCUCUCCAGAGCCCAAAUCAGUUGAUACGAGUAGUAUCACCUCUCCCAUUCCUUCAGACUCCCAAGCACCUGCCCAUCCCACUCCAUAGCCCAGCCACCCACUCUCAUGUACCAUAUGGCCAUCCCAGUAAGCAAGCCAACCACUAGAAUUUGACUGGCAUGCACCUGUGACUUACAUAAACCAGACCUCUACAUAGCCUACAUGUCUUCAUUUUGCUGAAGACUGCCCAUCAUCCUAGCCUGUUAUCUGUGAUAAAGCACACUGAAGUUAGGUUUGGAAUGCAUCCUUAUCAUGAAUGCUCUACACCUCCACCUCCAUCUCCCACAACCUAGGUAACAGCUUUGAGACUCGCUAAAAG